rnacentral:tRNA from 1 species
GCAGUGGUGGUUCAGGGGUAGAGUUCUCACCUUCCAUGCAGGAGACCUGGGUUCAAUUCCUGGUCAAUGCG